rnacentral:rRNA from 1 species
ACUCGCCAAACCACUACGARUGAAAACUUAAAACUUAAAGGACUUGACGGUACUUCACACUCAACCUAGAGGAGCCUGUCUACUAACCGAUAAUCCACGAUUAACCCGACCACUUCUAGCCCCCAGUCUAUAUACCGCCGUCGCCAGCCCACCUUGUGAAAGAAACAAAAUGAGCUAAACAGUCAUACACUAACACGACAGGUCGAGGUGUAACUAAUGAAGUGGACCAAGAUGGGCUACAUUUUCUAACACAGACUAUACGAAUAAAGUCAUGAAACUUACCUUAGAAGGUGGAUUUAGCAGUAAGAUGAGAACACAACACUCAGCUGAAACCAUUGCAAUGAAGUGCGUACACACCGCCCGUCAUCCCUGUCAAAACCCUAUCAACAAUACAUAAAUACACAACACACCUAAUAAAACAGGGCAAGUCGUAACAUGGUAAGCGUACUGGAAAGUGCGCUUAGAAA